AGUNGCGGACGGGUGAGUAACGCGUGGGUUACCUGCCUCAUACAGGGGGAUAACAGUUAGAAAUGACUGCUAAUACCGCAUAAGCGCACGGGACUGCAUGGUCCAGUGUGAAAAACUCCGGUGGUAUGAGAUGGACCCGCGUCUGAUUAGCUAGUUGGUGGGGUAAGGGCUCACCAAGGCGACGAUCAGUAGCCGGCCUGAGAGGGUGACCGGCCACAUUGGGACUGAGACACGGCCCAAACUCCUACGGGAGGCAGCAGUGGGGAAUAUUGCACAAUGGGGGAAACCCUGAUGCAGCGACGCCGCGUGAAGGAAGAAGUAUUUCGGUAUGUAAACUUCUAUCAGCAGGGAAGAAAAUGACGGUACCUGACUAAGAAGCCCCGGCUAACUACGUGCCAGCAGCCGCGGUAAUACGUAGGGGGCAAGCGUUAUCCGGAUUUACUGGGUGUAAAGGGAGCGUAGGCGGUGAUGCAAGUCAGAAGUGAAAGCCCGCAGCUCAACUGCGGGACUGCUUUUGAAACUGUAUGACUAGAUUGCAGGAGAGGUAAGUGGAAUUCCUAGUGUAGCGGUGAAAUGCGUAGAUAUUAGGAGGAACACCAGUGGCGAAGGCGGCUUACUGGACUGUAAAUGACGCUGAGGCUCGAAAGCGUGGGGAGCAAACAGGAUUAGAUACCCUGGUA
rnacentral:rRNA from 1 species